GGCUCCGGACGUGCAGGCUCAGCGGCCAUGGCUCACGGGCCCAGCCGCUCCGUGGCAUGUGGGAUCCUCCAGGACCGGGACACGAACCUGCUUCCCCUGCAUCGGCAGGCGGACCCUCAAUCACUGCGCCACCAGGGAAACCCUUAUACUGGUCUUUUGAUGUGCAUACAAACAGAAUUCUAUUGGUUAUAUACUGAGUUGGAUAAUUUCUGUGUCAUAAGUCAGACAUUUGUUGAACUUUAGUAGCUACUGUCAGUUUUCCAAAGUAGUUGUAUAAGUUUUCAUUUCCAUCAGCAGAAUAUGAUGAUUGCUGUUGCUUCACAUCCUAGCCAACAAUUGGCAUUGCUAGUCCUUUUAAUUUUCGUGAGAAUAGCAUUUACUUAAUAUUCAUUUCUUUGGUAUUUGUGAGGCCAAGAUACAUUUUAAAAAAUUUUAUUUUAUUCAAUUAUAGUUGAUUUAUAAUGUUGUGUUAAUUUCUGAUGUACAGCAAAGUGAUUCAGUUAUACGUAUAUACACUUUAUUUCAUAUUCUUUUCUACUAAGGUUUAUCACAGGAGAUAUAUAUAGAUAUAUAUGUAUAUCAUAUGCUAUACAGUAGGACUUUGUUGUUUAUCCAUUCUAUAUAUAACAUUUUGCAUCUGCUAAUCCCAAACUCCCACUCCAUCCCUCCCCCACCCUCCUCCCGUUGACAACCACAUGUUUGUUCUCUAUGUCUGUGAGUCUGUUUCAUAGGUAAGUUUGUGUCAUAUUUUAGAUUCCACAUAUAAGUGAUGUCAUAUGCUAUUUAUCUUUCUGUUUCUGACUUACUUCACUCAGUAUGAUAAUUUCUAGGUCCAUCCAUGUUGCUGCAAAAGGAAUUAUUUUAUUCUUUUUUAUGGCUGAGUAAUAUUCUAUUGUAUAUAUGUACCACAUCCUCUUUAUCCAUUCAUCUGUCAAUGGACAUUUAGUUUGUUUCCAUGUCUUGGCUAUUGUGGAUAGUGUUGUUGUGAACGUAGGGGUGUAUGUAUCUUUUUGAAUUAUAGUUUUAUUUGGGUAUAUGCCCAGGAGUGGGAUUGCUGGAUCACAUGGCAACUCUAGUUUUAGUUUUUUGAAGGAACCUCCAUACUGUUUUUCAUUGUAGCUGCACCAGUUUACAUUCCCACCAACAGAGUAGAAGUUUUCUCUUUUCUCCACACCCUCUCGAGCACUUGUUAUUUGUAGACUUUUGAAUGAUGGCCAUUCUGACUGGUGUGAGCCCAGGUUACUUUUUAUAUGCUUACUGGUCAUUUUGAGAAGCCUCUGUUCAAGUCUUUUGCUCAUUUCUUUGUUAUUGUGUUCUUAAUCUUGUUCUUAAUGAACACGUCAGCAAUAAUUUUUCCAAUCAGAUUCCUCCCAGAAUGAAAGAAGCUGAGAACAUCCAGCGCUCUGUAGAAGCUGUGGCUCUCAGAUGGGCAACUGGCGACUGUGUUUUGGUGCUGCAUUCUUCACAGAGUACAGGCUCCGGACGCGCAGGCUCAGUGGCCAUGGCUCACAGGCCCAGCUGCUCCGCGGCAUGUGGAACCUUCCCGGACCGGGUCACGAACCCGUGUCCCCUGCAUCGGCAGGCGGACUCUCAACCACUGCGCCACCAGGGAAGCCCUAAAUCACCGGAGAUACUGAAAUUUUAGAGAAGAAAAAUAAACCCUUUUCUUCGAUGCAAUAUAUUCUACAGAAGAGUGAAGCGUGUGCAUUUCCAUCAGAACAGGACUUACCUGCUUUUAACAGUACAACAUGGAUGCUUAAAAUUUGAGGCCACAAUUUUCAAAUGGCAAUCGUUACAGGCAAUUCAUCUUCAUGUAGCAGAAAAAGAUGUUCUUGCAUCUAUAUACUCCUGAUAUUGGCAGGCAAUACUACUUUUUCUUUUUUUCGUUGAGAAAUCGAGAGGAAGGAAAGUUUCUGAAUUUUUACUGAACAUUUCCAUCUUUAUCAUUUUAGCUCUGGGAGACAGUGUCACAGUAAAACUACAAAGUAUCCCACGAGGCUUUUCUAAGUGAAGUCAUUUGACAGAGGUGAUUUGCUGCUGACCUCACUUCUCUUGGACAUAACAGCAAUUGCACUGCCUUUGAUCACAACUGUCAAAAUACAGUAUUCUGUAUUAUUUGUCCAAGUCUGGCACACCACUGCAUGUGGAUACAUGACUGUUCUUGGAAUUUUGAAACAUUGCUGACAGAAACUCAUACAAGAUAAUAGGCUAGCAGCAGUGGUAGGGAACAUAAGAGGAAAGUUAUUCAGUGACUCUACCAAGAGUUUACUGAGAAUUUACUAUGCAUGUGACUAUAUACAGCCAUAUGGGGGAUACAAAGACAGAUUACUUCAGAAAAUGAUAUAAGGGCAUAAUGAUAGAUUGUGCCAGUUGAAUCCCAAAGAGACUAGUAGCAUCGCACUUCUAGAAUGCCAUUUUAGAGUUCAAAUUUUCUGCUUUGGACUGGAGGAUGUGUCUUCUGGUGCCUGCCAUGUUGCCUCACAUGGUCACCAUUUUCAAGGGUAGUGACUGUGCUGAAUGCUUUCCAUUUAUUCCAUCGAGUGCCACUUUCCACCCCCUUUCCACCCUACUCCACGCCCCAGGAUGCUGAUUCUAGGCCAGAGAUUCCCAGUUCUCUGGAUUCAGGUUGUGUUCAGCCAAUGAGAAGCACAGACAGGAGAGUGAGGUUAGGCAAUGUUUUCUUCAGCCUUCCUUCCAAGUGUUGGCAGCCUCCCUCUACCGGAGGCCAAAAUUGCUCUCAGCAAUCCUUCUCCAAACCAUGCCAUUUUCAAGUUCCAAGUUCAAGUCACUGCUUCUUUCUCACCUAGGGAUAGCAGCUCUGUCAGUUGUUAGCCUCAGAUUAAGCACUAUCCCUUUGUAAAUCAUUCCUUUAUUAGACUCUCUUCAAAUUCCUCAGUUUCAGUGUGGCAUCUUUUCUUACCAGGACUCCAGGUGAUGCAGCACCUAAACCUGCAGGUUGGGAUGUAUCUAUAAAGCCCAUACUUUCAAAUUAGUAGACUUGUAGUAUUACAAGUCCAAGGGUCCUAUGAUAAAGAAGAUGCAUAUAUAUGACGGUGUGAUUUGAGAUACUUGGUUCACGACUCUUUGAGUACUUGAUAAUUGCGGAAAGGAGCCAGGUUGACCUUGUUCACAUUUUUCCUAAUUAAAAGAGAUUCACUGAAAAAGAUUGGGAUGACAGGCUGACUUCAUGUUUCCAUUUCUGGGAAUGUUUCCUGGUUUAUGCAAUCACAGUAGGAUAAGUGUUUAAAAGAGGCAGUUUGCCAUAUAAAUUUGUAAUGAUUUUCUGGAUUUUAAAGAUAGGAGAUAAGUUG